rnacentral:ncRNA from 2 species
GAGCGAUAAUAGCAAACCUGCCGAAAGGCAGGGACGCAAAACCAAGGGUCUAAAAUCCGGAAGGAUUAAGACAGCCGGUUGCCGAA